UGUUUCUACCUUUCCAGGUGCUGUAGGUGAAGAAAUAAAGGCCGUAGCCCACAACGGUGGGACCUGUGCGAAGGAAUCGGGAGGAAAGAGAGAGAGAGAAAGAGAGAAAGGCAUAUAACCUCACUUGAAAUCUCUUUGCUACGAUGGAUUCUGGAAACUGAAAUUUUGGCUGGGCUGUGUUUGCCCUCCUCUUAAAACAGGGUGGCGGUUUCCGAUUUUCUCGCUUUCCGAAUUUAGAAGCCAAAACAGGUAAGCGAGUUGGAACCUGGCAAUGCUGUGCCAUUCUAAGGCGGCACGCUCAAAAGAAAGGCCCAUCGAGUUCAAUGGGAUUUACUCCCAGGUAAACGGACACCGGUUCGCAACCUAAGGGCUUGGUGCAAAGCCCCCUUUUGGAGAUCUGCAUCUGAGGGCAUGUGAGCUUUUUCCAGGGUUUCUAUUUAGAACAUAAGAACACAAAUGCAAUAUAAAAAGUUUUUUUCCCCCUCUACCAUCUUCUGUCCUCCCUUUAUUUUUCGAUUGUCCUGAUCAAGUUACCCCACCCGGAUGGAUUUCGGGAUUCGGCUAAGAUGGCUCGCCUGGCUUUUUACAACCUUUCUGACAGUUCCUUAAAGGAAACCGGGUGAGUCUUUAACAAAACACACUCCAUGCCACAUCCUCCAGAAUCCAUCGCAGGGGGUUUCGGGAUCAAUGUCUGAGCUCUAUUUUUUUAUUUUUUAAAAAGGGCUGCCAACUGACUUUCGAAACCCUGGCCUGGUCUCUGCUUUGUUCAAAGGUCGCCGAAAUACACCCGGCUUCUCCUUCUGACCUUCCGCUUCUAGGCAAAGUUCACUGCUCUCUUUCUCUCUCUGAAAAUGGAAAUGCUCUUUUUUUGAGGGGAGGGGGGGCGGAGGGGACUAUCAGUCCCAGAAUCCCCCCAAAACAGAAGGGACACUUAAUUCUUUGCUCGCUGGGGCAGGGAGCCGUCUCCAGCCCCCCCACCCCGUCCCUUUCCAUCCUGGUGAUUUUCUCCCCGUUCUACAUUGACGGCCUGAGUUGGUCCCUUACAAGGAAACACCUCUCAAGAGUGGCCUUUCCGAAACCACGGCCCAUGCUGCUUAGAGUUGAUGGGAGAUGUAGUCCAGCAGACGUGAAGGCUGGGACAGAGUCCUGCAGGUGGUGAAAAAGAAAGGCAGGGCUCCUGUACCUUUUGCAGGAGUGCAGAAGAGGUGAUCAACCUGUCCUGCAAGGCACCAGAGCCUCAUAAUCUUCUCUUGAAUUUUCCCCUAUUUGCUUGGCGGGGCGGGGCGGGUUUGUCCAGGCCAGCGAAUGGCCGAUUCAUUUAUAUAUUUUAUCCAUAAGAUGGUUUUCCUGCAUUUCUUUUUU